GACGGAAGGUGCAAGCGUUGCUCGGAAUCACUGGGCGUAAAGGGUGCGUAGGCGGCUUGGUAGGUCUGGUGUGAAAGCCCCGGGCUCAGCCCGGGAAGGGCACUAGAAACUGCCAGCUAGAGUGCCGGAGGGGAGAGUGGAAUUCCUGGUGUAGCGGUGAAAUGCGUAGAGAUCAGGAGGAAUACCGGUGGCGAAAGCGACUCUCUGGACGGCAACUGACGCUGAGGCACGAAAGCGUGGGGAGCAAACAGG
rnacentral:rRNA from 1 species